rnacentral:rRNA from 1 species
AUACGGAGGGUGCAAGCGUUACUCGGAAUCACUGGGCGUAAAGCGCGCGCAGGCGGUCUUUUAAGUUGGAUAUGAAAGCCUACGGCUCAACCGUAGAACUGCAUCCAAAACUAUUAGACUAGAGUGUGGGAGAGGAAGAUGGAAUUAGUUGUGUAGGGGUAAAAUCCGUAGAGAUAACUAGGAAUACCAAAAGCGAAGGCAAUCUUCUGGAACACUACUGACGCUGAGGCGCGAAAGCGUGGGGAGCAAACAGGAUUAGAUACCCCAGUAGUCC